AUGCACGCUGGCGGCGUGCCUAAUACAUGCAAGUCGAGCGAACAGACGAGGAGCUUGCUCCUCUGACGUUAGCAGCGGACGGGUGAGUAACACGUGGAUAACCUACCUAUAAGACUGGGAUAACUUCGGGAAACCGGAGCUAAUACCGGAUAAUAUAUUGAACCGCAUGGUUCAAUAGUGAAAGACGGUUUUGCUGUCACUUAUAGAUGGAUCCGCGCCGCAUUAGCUAGUUGGUAAGGUAACGGCUUACCAAGGCAACGAUGCGUAGCCGACCUGAGAGGGUGAUCGGCCACACUGGAACUGAGACACGGUCCAGACUCCUACGGGAGGCAGCAGUAGGGAAUCUUCCGCAAUGGGCGAAAGCCUGACGGAGCAACGCCGCGUGAGUGAUGAAGGUCUUCGGAUCGUAAAACUCUGUUAUUAGGGAAGAACAAAUGUGUAAGUAACUAUGCACGUCUUGACGGUACCUAAUCAGAAAGCCACGGCUAACUACGUG
rnacentral:rRNA from 1 species